CUGAGCUUACAGAACCUCAGGAACUUCAGUAGGAGCAGUGCAGGUUGGAGUCUCGUCUCUCCACUGCUCCUUGGGGCCCCAGAGGCCAUGCUGGGAGAGCAGUGUCCUUAGUACUCAUCUGAGGAGAUCCGGAUUAGGAGAGUGAAGGGUACGUGCUUGUUUUCCUGCUGCCACGUGGAUGCAGGAGAGAAAUGCACUUGUUGGUGUCAGUGGUCAGCAUCAGCACCCCACAAAUGGCUCUGUUUUGCAGACAUACAGGACGUGUCCCCCAUCCAUGGGAGAGGCGUUGCUGGGCUGUGUAUGCCAAGAUCCAUUAUCUCCAAGUCAGCACAAGGGAAGAGGCCAGUGCUGGAGCUGCUAAUAUGACACAGCUGCAGACUGACAGACUUUGUAUCUUCUGCGUUUUGCUUUGUUUAAGAAAUUAGUGAAUCCAGAAAACUGCGCCUGUAAAGCUGUUCCAGAAGAACCCAUUAAUGCUGGUUUCUAAUCAAAGGGUAUCUCAUCCCAUACCCAGCUGAGAAAGUCCUGAUUUCUCUUUCUCAUCACAAAUCACACAUAAUUCAAUAAAUCCAACAUGGAAAUGUCUUCUGCUCCCAGA